GGUAGAGCGCUCCACUUGUAAUGGAGAGGUCCCGGGUCCGAUACCCGGACCAGGCG
rnacentral:tRNA from 1 species